CCAAAUCCUGACCCUCACUGGCUCCAGGCUCGUGGACGUCUAUGUCGCUUUUCCCUGAGCCUAUCGCGGUGCCGCCGAGUCGUUGCCUAGGUGAUUAGACUGGACGCACCGCAUCACGGCUCACGCGACUUGAACUACACUACCCAGAACUUCCCUCACUGUGCGUUCACACCAGUAUUGACCAAUGAUAGCCCAGGAAAUAGGCGUUUCCGGGACGGCCACGCCUUGGAGGGCGGGACUUCCGGAUUCAGAUGGUUGCUUCUCUGUCGGUCGCGGGCGGAUGGACCUAGUUGUUGGACCGUGGUUGGUGUCCAGGGGGCUCCUCAGGCCCGCGGAAACGGGAGUGGCAGCGGAUGGGACCACCAAAUGUGGACCCCACCAUCCCUGCCCACGUUCUGGGCCCCGCCUCGGUGGAAACCAGCAGAUGAUGAGGGCAGGUGCCCCCAGGCUCACCUGCAGUGUCGCUUGUGCCCCUGAGAUCCUGGCUGCAGACCUCUAAGCCCCAGGGCUCCUGCCUUGCAGUGAUGGCCUUGCCAGAAGCAAGCCCAGGGAGGCCGAGGAGGCCGCCUGCUUGCAGACUGUCGUCCGGCUGUGAGCAGCACGCCGCGGCUCACACCUGCUCUGCACCCACUCUCAGGACAAGCUGUGCCUCUGCGCCCUGAGGCUGGACAGCCAUGAAGGUCAUGACUGCUGAAGUCACCAGCAACCCAGCUUGGGCAACAGGAGCCUCCCUGGCUUUUGCUGGUGGGGUGACAGCUCUCAGGAAUAUGGCUCAGAAGACUGCAGGAUUCAGGACAACUUCAGCUGCUCAGUGACCUUAUGCGUGGUGUUAAUAGAUAUGAGUUUGGCCCCUGUAGAUCUCACAGCCUGUGCCCUUGCGUACUGGGCUCUGGCGUCCCCUGUUGCCUGUUCCCUGUGCCCCACCAUUCCCCAUCUACGUAGAGGGGACCUGCCCCUGUCUGCCUGGAGUGGUGAUUACAGGGAUCUGGUUUUUCUGGCCUGGCACAGAAAGAUGGCUCAUCUCCAGCUGGUGGCCACACGAAGCUGCGCUGGUUUGAGGGACCUGCUUCCUUAUUCUCAGACCGCUGUACCCCUCAAGUCCUAUGAUUCCACCUCAGAGUCUGGAGCAGUCGGAAGGGAGUUGCUCCCAGGACAUUCCAGUUGCCCCCAGCAGAGUGAGCCUGUUCAGGAAGCAGGGAAGCUCCCCUGGCACUGCCAGCAGACCCUCCAUGGGGCCCUCGGCCAGAGAGGGUCAGUUCCCAGCCCCUGUUUAGUUAGGGCCUAACAAGUUCUGACUCUGCCACCCCAUGUCCAUGGAAUUUUUCAGGCAGAACACUAGAGUGGGUUGCCAUUUCCUUCUCCAGGGGAUCUUCCUAACCCAGGGAUUGAAACAGUGCCUUCUGUACUGGCAGGCAGAUUCUUUACCACUGAGCCACCUGGGAAGCCCCAUAUCGUUCGUGUUCCAUAGCUAUGUCUUUCUUUUAAAGGUUCUGUUUAAAAGAACCUCUCUGUAUACAAUAUCGUAAAGUUAAAAAUUAAAAAUACAUAUAUUAAAAAAAACAACUUCUCUGUCCUGCUUCAGAGGGAUCAGCAUGUGCAGAGGCUUGGAGGAGGGUAUGCAGGACACCUGAAGUCCUUUACCACAAAGUCCCAAGGGAGAAGGAUUCAUGUUAGGCCUUUAUCCUGGGGGGGACGGGGUGGGGCAUGAGUUGGGGAGACAUGAUUGGAGGAGUGACUCGAUCUGACAAGAAUCCCUUUUGGGACUUCCCCAGUGGUCCAGUGGUUAAGCGCCCACCUUGUAGUGUGGGGGAUGCAAGUUUGAUCCUUGGAUGGGAAAAUACGACCCCUUGUGCCGAGAUGCAAAUAAGCCCGAGUGCCACAACUGCUGAGCCCACAUGCUCUGGAGCCCACAAGCCACAGGGAAAAUCCCCUAUGCCUCAAGUAAGACCUGACAUAGCCAAAUAAAUACAUUUAAAAAAAGAACAUCCGUUUGACAUCCACGUGGAGAAGGG
rnacentral:lncRNA from 1 species